AUUGAACGCUGGCGGCAGGCCUAACACAUGCAAGUCGAACGGUAACAGGAAACAGCUUGCUGUUUCGCUGACGAGUGGCGGACGGGUGAGUAAUGUCUGGGAAACUGCCUGAUGGAGGGGGAUAACUACUGGAAACGGUAGCUAAUACCGCAUAACGUCGCAAGGCCAAAGAGGGGGACCUUCGGGCCUCUUGCCAUCGGAUGUGCCCAGAUGGGAUUAGCUAGUAGGUGGGGUAACGGCUCACCUAGGCGACGAUCCCUAGCUGGUCUGAGAGGAUGACCAGCCACACUGGAACUGAGACACGGUCCAGACUCCUACGGGAGGCAGCAGUGGGGAAUAUUGCACAAUGGGCGCAAGCCUGAUGCAGCCACGCCGCGUGUAUGAAGAAGGCCUUCGGGUUGUAAAGUACUUUCAGCGGGGAGGAAGGGAGUAAAGUUAAUACCGUUGCUCACUGACGUUACCCGCAGAAGAAGCACCGGCUAACUGCGUGC
rnacentral:rRNA from 1 species